rnacentral:lncRNA from 1 species
UCCUCGUGAGCGUGAUGGACAACAAUCUUGAGCCCGUGGUUGGUCAGCGGAAAGCGAGCCCACAGUUUUAUGGCAGCGGUUACAUUGAAGGUCUGCCAGCCCGAUUCCCACGCGUGUACGUCCCGUUUAUCGAUAAGUUGGAUGCCUCCCUCGGGUAAAAUAAGAUGGACACUCAUAGAGCAAUUUCCAUGUGUUAUAUUGCGAUUCCUGGGCAACCUUUUAUAAAUCUUCAUCUCUCCCCCCUGGACGAUGUCUUCCUGAGCAUUGAAUUUUGUUUUGAACUUGAGUUUGAAUUCGUGGUGAAUGCGGUUCCAGCUUUUAUCGUGAUC